rnacentral:rRNA from 1 species
CACGCUGUAAACGAUGAUUACUAGGUGUGGGGGGUCUGACCCCCUCCGUGCCGGAGUUAACACAAUAAGUAAUCCACCUGGGGAGUACGGUCGCAAGACUGAAACUCAAAGGAAUUGACGGGGGCCCGCACAAGCAGUGGAGUAUGUGGUUUAAUUCGAAGCAACGCGAAGAACCUUACCAGGUCUUGACAUCGAGUGACGGACUAAGAGAUUAGUCUUUCCUUCGGGACACAAAGACAGGUGG